CGUUCCGAGGAGCGUUGCGACCUCUCACCGCCAGAGGCCAGGCUCGGAACUGCUGUGUUGUAUCCCCUCACAGCCCAGCAACCGCGCUCACCCGUU
rnacentral:ncRNA from 1 species